GAAGAAGAGGAAGAUAAUGACAUUGACUCUGAUAUGGAAGACGAGGAGGACCAGGGAGAAAGAGACGUGUCUAACCCAGGGCUUGUUAUUGUUAAAAGAGAGGAGGAGGAGGAGGAGGAGGAGGAGGAAGGUUUGGAUAGGACCAAGCCAGGUAAUCACUGAUCAGAACAUGCAUCCAGUGGAGGAGGUAGGGGAUGGAGAGGAGGAGGAGGAGGAGGAGGAGGAGGAGGAGGAAG